rnacentral:rRNA from 1 species
ACGUAGGUGGCGAGCGUUAUCCGGAUUUACUGGGCGUAAAGAGUGUGUAGGCGGUGUUCUAAGUCUGUCGUGAAAUCUCCCGGCUUAACCGGGAGGGUGCGGCGGAAACUGGAAUGCUUGAGGGUGGGAGAGGUAAGCGGAAUUCCUGGUGUAGCGGUGAAAUGCGUAGAUAUCAGGAGGAACACCUGUGGUGUAGACAGCUUACUGGUCCACUUCUGACGCUGAGACACGAAAGCGUGGGUAGCAAACAGGA